AUGGCGAUCGGAGUUAAUGGGCCAGCUCACCCUACGCCAACGACGGGAGCGAUCGAUCCAUAUGCCGCUGUUCUCCGGCGGCCGCCACUCCGGAGAACACGAUGCUCGCGCCGACGAACCGCACGGUGCUGUCACACGGCACGGGAGGGUGUAAUCCUAACAACCGGGAGGCCAACCACUGCAGGUCUCUCCGCCUGCUCCUCCCACCUCGCGGCGGCCUCCUCCUUUUGCUCCCCCCUCUCCGCCUUCGGAGAACUGUCUCCAGCCGGCAUGGCGGUGGGAGCGCAGCAGCAGGGCAUAGUGCUCACAGAGCUGGAGCAGCGGAUUUUCGGGCGCCUUCUCGAUGUUGUCCACCACCGAGGCCUCGGCACCCAGCUCCGCGUCGCCGGCGGAUGGGUCAGAGACAAGCUAUUGGGGAAAGACUCUACCGACAUCGAUAUCGCGCUUGAUGAUAACAUGACCGGCGUAAAAUUUUGUGGGGAAAUAACUAAGUACUACAAGGUGAUCGGUCAGGAGCUGAAAGAACCUUGUAUUAUCCCAUGCAAUCCCAGCCAAUCUAAGCACUUGGAAACCGCAAGGAUACAUCUAUCUGACAUCUCUGACAUCUGGAUUGAUUUUGUCAACUUGAGGUCCGAAAAAUAUGCUGAAAACAGUCGUAUUCCCACUGUGGAGGAUGGUACGCCCGAAGAAGAUGCAUUCCGCAGGGACCUAACAAUUAAUAGCUUAUUCUAUAAUAUCAACACGAAAUCGGUGGAAGAUUUAACUGGAAGAGGUCUUGAAGAUCUGAAGAAAGGCCUUAUUGUUACUCCUUUACCAGCCAAAGUUACAUUCCUCGAUGAUCCCCUGAGGGAAGCCGCUUCUGAUGAAAAAGUGAAGUUGAAUCUUGGUAGCAAGAUUAGCAGAGAACGUAUUGGUCAGGAAGUUGACCACAUGAUGUCAGACAAAUAUCCGGUUGAUGCAAUGUGCCAUAUCCGUGAUUUGGGAUUAUUUUACGUUGUUUUUGCAUUUCCUGAGAAAACAGUUCCUCCAGUUCUCAACAAACAUGAUUGGCUAUGUGUUUCACAUAUUGAAGCAGCAUGGAAUCUUGCACAAUCAAUUGGCUGCUCUGAUGAACAGAGAAGGCUUUGCAUGUAUAGUGCACUAUUUACUCCAGUUCGAAAUAUGGUGUACACGAAGAAAAAGGUCGUUCGCUAUAUUAUUGGAAACUCUCUAAAGUUGAAUGGUUCUGAUGCUGAAGCGAUUGUCCAAAUACAUGCUGCAAGUGACAAGUUUGCCGAUUUAAUUAUUUUCCUCGAGUCAAAUGGAAAUCUGGAAACUGUUAAAGAGAACCCGAAUGACAAAUAUCUUGAGAUACCAACAGACAUGGUAGCACGCGUUUUGGCAGGACUUCUACUCCUUGGAAUAAAGGACCUUUGGCGUCUGGCACUGUUGAUAUCCACUCUGUCCUAUCCAGAAGCCCACAGUGCUAAUGGUUCCUUCAGCCAGCAGGAUGAGCUAAAUAGAAGAAAAGAGAUAUAUAUCAGAGUUGAGCGUUUAAUAACCGACCUCGAUCUCGACGAUGCAUGGAAGAUAGAUACAGGUCCGCUGCUCGAUGGGAAAGACAUCAUGGGAGUUUUGGGCAUCGGAGAAGGUCCCUUGGUCAGAGAAUGGAAAGAAAGGCUAGUGAAGUGGCAGCUUGCGCAUCCCAAAGGUACCGCGGAGGAGUGCCGUGAGUGGAUAAAGCAGUCCAAAUGUCAGAAAAAGGAAAUGUAG
rnacentral:rRNA from 1 species